AGUGAACGCUGGCGGUAGGCCUAACACAUGCAAGUCGAACGGCAGCACAGUAAGAGCUUGCUCUUACGGGUGGCGAGUGGCGGACGGGUGAGGAAUACAUCGGAAUCUACUUUUUCGUGGGGGAUAACGUAGGGAAACUUACGCUAAUACCGCAUACGACCUACGGGUGAAAGCAGGGGAUCUUCGGACCUUGCGCGAUUGAAUGAGCCGAUGUCGGAUUAGCUAGUUGGCGGGGUAAAGGCCCACCAAGGCGACGAUCCGUAGCUGGUCUGAGGGGAUGGUACGGCAACCUGGGAAGGGAGAAAGGUCCCGACUACUAAGGGAGGCAGCAGUGGGGAAUAUUGGACCAUGGGCGCAAGCCUGAUCCAGGCCUACCGGGUGGGUGAAGAAGGCCCUCGGGUUGGAAAGCCCUUUUGGUGGGAAAAAAAAGCAGCAGGUUUAUACCCCGCCGUUCUGACGGUACCCAAAGAAUAAGCACCGGCUAACUUCGUG
rnacentral:rRNA from 1 species